CAAGACCUUGCGCUUUUGGAGCGGCCGAUGUCUGAUUAGCUAGUUGGUGAGGUAAAGGCUUACCAAGGCUUCGAUCAGUAGCUGGUCUGAGAGGACGACCAGCCACACUGGGACUGAGACACGGCCCAGACUCCUACGGGAGGCAGCAGUGGGGAAUUUUGGACAAUGGGGGCAACCCUGAUCCAGCCAUGCCGCGUGAGUGAAGAAGGCCUUCGGGUUGUAAAGCUCUUUCAGCCGGAACGAAAAGGUUACGGUUAAUACCCGUGACUAAUGACGGUACCGGAAGAAGAAGCACCGGCUAACUACGUGCCAGCAGCCGCGGUAAUACGUAGGGUGCGAGCGUUAAUCGGAAUUACUGGGCGUAAAGCGUGCGCAGGCGGUUUUGUAAGUCAGAUGUGAAAUCCCCGGGCUCAACCUGGGAACU
rnacentral:rRNA from 1 species